rnacentral:rRNA from 1 species
AACGAACGCUGGCGGCAUGCCUAACACAUGCAAGUCGAACGCCAUGGUUUCGGCCAUGGAGUGGCGCACGGGUGAGUAACGCGUGGGAACCUGCCCAGCAGUAUGGGACAACCGCGGGAAACUGCGGCUAAUACCGUAUACGCCCGUCUUUGGGAGACCAGGGGCGGGGAAAGAUUGAUCGCUGUUGGAGGGGCCCGCGGCGGACUAGGUAGUUGGUGGGGUAAAGGCCUACCAAGCCUGCGAUCCGUAGCUGGUCUGAGAGGAUGAUCAGCCACACUGGGACUGAGACACGGCCCAGACUCCUACGGGAGGCAGCAGUGGGGAAUAUUGGACAAUGGGCGCAAGCCUGAUCCAGCAAUGCCGCGUGAGUGAUGAAGGCCUUAGGGUUGUAAAACUCUUUCACACGCGGCGAUGAUGACGGUAGCGUGAGAAGAAGCCCCGGCUAACUCCGUGCCAGCAGCCGCCGUAAGAC